UACGUAGGGUGCGAGCGUUAACCGGAAUUACUGGGCGUAAAGCGUGCGCAGGCGGCUUUGCAAGACAGAGGUGAAAUCCCCGGGUUCAACCUGGGAACUGCCUUUGUGACUGCAAGGCUAGAGUACGGCAGAGGGGGAUGGAAUUCCGCGUGUAGCAGUGAAAUGCGUAGAUAUGCGGAGGACACCGAUGGCGAAGGCAAUCCCCUGGGCCUGUACUGACGCUCAUGCACGAAAGCGUGGGGAGCA
rnacentral:rRNA from 1 species